GGAUACUUCGGGUGUGGCUACGGCGUAAGUCCCUUGGAACAGGGCGUCAUAGAGGGUGAGAAUCCCGUCUUAAGUCGUUUGUCCAUGCCCAUGCGAAGUUCCUUCGACGAGUCGAGUUGUUUGGGAAUGCAGCUCUAAGUGGGUGGUAAAUUUCAUCUAAAGCUAAAUAUUGGCCGGAGACCGAUAGCGAACAAGUAGAGUGAUCGAAAGGUUAAAAGCACCUUGAAAAGGGAGUUAAAUAGCACGUGAAAUUGUUGAAAGGGAAGCGCUUGCAACCAGACUCGGUCAUAGGGGCUCAGCGAGCAUGCGUGCUCGUGUACUCCCCUGUGUUCGGGCCAGCAUCAGUUCUGGCGGUUGGUUAAAGGCCCUUGGAAUGUAUCAUCCUCCGGGAUGUCUUAUAGCCAAGGGUGUAAUGCAGCCAGCCGGGACUGAGGAACGCGCUUCGGCACGGAUGCUGGCGUAAUGGUUGUAAGCGGCCCGUCU
rnacentral:rRNA from 1 species